rnacentral:rRNA from 1 species
AGUAACGGCGAGUGAAGCGGCAACAGCUCAAAUUUGAAAUCUAGGCGCAAGCCCGAGUUGUAAUUUGGAGAGGAUGCUUCUAGGCAGCGGCCGGUCUAAGUUCCUUGGAACAGGACGUCAUAGAGGGUGAGAAUCCCGUAUGCGACCGGUUGGCACCUAACACGUAGCUCCUUCGACGAGUCGAGUUGUUUGGGAAUGCAGCUCUAAAUGGGAGGUAAAUUUCUUCUAAAGCUAAAUACUGGCCAGAGACCGAUAGCGCACAAGUAGAGUGAUCGAAAGAUGAAAAGCACUUUGGAAAGAGAGUUAAAAAGCACGUGAAAUUGUUGAAAGGGAAGCGCAUGCAACCAGACUUGUCGGCGGUGUUCCGCCGGUCUUUUGACCGGUCUACUCGCCGCCGGCAGGCCAGCAUCACUUGGGACCGCCGGACAAAGGCCACGGGAAUGUAGCUCCUCGGAGUGUUAUAGCCCGCGGCACAAUACGGCGCGCCCCGAGUGAG